rnacentral:rRNA from 1 species
AUUGAACGCUGGCGGCAUGCCUUACACAUGCAAGUCGAACGGCAGCACGGAGCUUGCUCUGGUGGCGAGUGGCGAACGGGUGAGUAAUAUAUCGGAACGUACCCAAGAGUGGGGGAUAACGUAGCGAAAGUUACGCUAAUACCGCAUACGAUCUAAGGAUGAAAGUGGGGGCUCGCAAGACCUCAUGCUCCUGGAGCGGCCGAUAUCUGACUAGCUAGUUGGUGAGGUAAAGGCUCACCAAGGCAUCGAUCAGUAGCUGGUCUGAGAGGACGACCAGCCACACUGGAACUGAGACACGGUCCAGACUCCUACGGGAGGCAGCAGUGGGGAAUUUUGGACAAUGGGGGCAACCCUGAUCCAGCAAUGCCGCGUGAGUGAAGAAGGCCUUCGGGUUGUAAAGCUCUUUUGUCAGGGAAGAAACGGUGAAGGCUAAUAUCCUUUGCUAAUGACGGUACCUGAAGAAUAAGCACCGGCUAACUACGUGCCAGCCGCCGCCGUAA